UCGAGAAUAAUUCACAAUGGGGGCAACCCUGAUGGUGCAACGCCGCGUGGAGGAUGAAGGUCUUCGGAUUGUAAACUCCUGUCAUCCGGGAGCAAGACCUGACGGUGAAUAGCCGGCAGGGUUGAUAGUACCGGAAGAGGAAGGGACGGCUAACUUCGUGCCAGCAGCCGCGGUAAUACGAAGGUCCCGAGCGUUGUUCGGAAUCACUGGGCGUAAAGGGAGCGUAGGCGGCGUGGUAAGUCAGAUGUG
rnacentral:rRNA from 1 species